rnacentral:rRNA from 1 species
CGUCUAUAUACGUAUAGCAUAUCAAUAAGCGGAGGAAAAGAAACUAACAAGGAUUCCCUUAGUAACGGCGAGUGAAGCGGGAAGAGCUCAAAUUUGAAAUCUUCAAGGUUCUACCUUGACGAAUUGUAGUCUAAAGAAGUGUUUUCUGUUAGAGGAGUAGCAAAAGUUCUUGGAAUAGGACAUCAUAGAGGGUGAGAAUCCCGUAUUUGGUUAUUCUUUCUAGCUUUGUGAUACACUUUCAAAGAGUCGGAUUGUUUGGGAAUGCAGUCCAAAAUGGGUGGUAAAUUUCAUCUAAAGCUAAAUAUUGGCGAGAGACCGAUAGCGAACAAGUACCGUGAGGGAAAGAUGAAAAGAACUUUGAAAAGAGAGUUAAACAGUACGUGAAAUUGUCAAAAGGGAAGCGUUUGACACCAGUGUUGUUUUUCCGAAAAUCAAUUAAGAGUGGCUUGAUUUUGUGUUGUAUUGACCUUAUCAGCUUUCUUCACUCUUUUUCGAGUCUUUCUUAAUGCACUUUUCGGUUAACAAGUCAACAUCAAUUUCUUUUGUUGUAAAAGGGUAUUUGGAAGGUGGCUUUCUUUUCGGAGAAAGUGUUUAUAGCCUUAUACCUCUACAAUCGGAGAGAUUGAGGUCUGCAGCGUAGAUCCUUCGGGGCUAGAUACACUUGUGCUAAGUUAUAGCUUUUCAUAGACAACUUGUUGACUAUGUUUAGUCAUGUAGCUUGCCCGCUUGUGCUAUUUUACCUACGCUUAGGAUGUUGAGUCAUCACACAUCUCU